rnacentral:rRNA from 1 species
GAUCCUUCCGCAGGUUCACCUACGGAAACCUUGUUAC